UACGUAGGUGGCAAGCGUUGUCCGGAUUCACUGGGCGUAAAGCGCGCGCAGGCGGUCUUCUACGUCUGGGGUGAAAGCCCUGGGCUCAACCUGGGAAUUGCAUUGGAUACUGGCAGGCUAGAGUGCGGUAGAGGAUGGCGGAAUUCCCGGUGUAGCAGUGAAAUGCGUAGAGAUGUGGAGGAACACCAGUGGCGAAGGCGACUUUCUGGGCUGUAACUGACGCUGAGGCGCGAAAGCGUGGGGAGCAAACAGG
rnacentral:rRNA from 1 species